rnacentral:rRNA from 1 species
ACACGCAUGACACACUGCAUAUCAAUAAGCGGAGGAAAAGAAACUAACAAGGAUUCCCUUAGUAACGGCGAGUGAAGCGGGAAGAGCUCAAAUUUGAAAUCUUCAAGGUUCUACCUUGACGAAUUGUAGUUUAUAGAAGUGUUUUCUGUUAGUAGAGUGGCAAAAGUUCUUUGGAAUAGGACAUCAUAGAGGGUGAGAAUCCCGUAUUUGGUCAUUCUUUCUAGCUUUGUGAUACACUUUCAACGAGUCGGAUUGUUUGGGAAUGCAGUCCAAAAUGGGUGGUAAAUUUCAUCUAAAGCUAAAUAUUGGCGAGAGACCGAUAGCGAACGAGUACCGUGAGGGAAAGAUGAAAAGAACUUUGAAAAGAGAGUUAAACAGUACGUGAAAUUGUCAAAAGGGAAGCGUUUGACACCAGUGUUGUUUUUCCGAAAAUCAAUUACAUGAUGGUUUGAUGUUUAGAGUGUAAUGACUUCAUCAGCUUACUGUCUAGUUCUUUACGUACUUUCUUGAAUGCACUUUUCGUUUAACAAGUCAACAUCAAUUUCUUUUGUUGUAAAAGGGUACGAGGAAGGUGGCUUCAGCUUUCGGUAGAAGUGUUUAUAGCCUUGUACCUCAGCAGUCGGAGAGAUUGAGGUCUGCAGCGUAGAUCCUUCGGGGUUAGAUACAUUUGUGCUAAGUUAUAGCUUUUCAUAGACAACGUGUUGACUAUGUUAAGUCUUGUAGCUUACUCGCUUAUGCUAUUUUACCUACGCUUAGGAUGUUGACGCAUGAGAUAUACGC